GGGGAAUAUUGCACAAUGGGGGAAACCCUGAUGCAGCAACGCCGCGUGGAGGAUGACGCAUUUCGGUGUGUAAACUCCUUUUAUAAGGGAAGAUAAUGACGGUACCUUAUGAAUAAGCACCGGCUAACUCCGUGCCAGCAGCCGCGGUAAUACGGAGGGUGCAAGCGUUACUCGGAAUCACUGGGCGUAAAGGAUGCGUAGGCUGUAAUAUAAGUCAGAAGUGAAAUCCAACGGCUUAACCGUUGAACUGCUUUUGAAACUGUUUUACUAGAAUAUGGGAGAGGUAGAUGGAAUUGGUGGUGUAGGGGUAAAAUCCGUAGAUAUCACCAGGAAUACCGAUUGCGAAGGCGAUCUACUGGAACAUUAUUGACGCUGAGGCAUGAAAGCGUGGGGAGCAAAC
rnacentral:rRNA from 1 species